rnacentral:lncRNA from 1 species
UAAAUAAACAAACAAACAAAUAAGAAGAAACUCAUCACCAAAGGCCCCAUGGAAUAUCUGCAAUACCCUGAAGACCAUGAUGUUCAGCAGCAACAAGGAAGUGCCACAAGAAAGCAUAACCAUUGAUCAUUGACAAAAUGACUUGGCUCUAUCUGGAUUUAUCUUAACCAAGGAAUUUAGAAGAACAGAAAAAGUAGUGGAGUCAAAUAAAUUCCAGAACACGAAUAGUAGACAUUGUAGAAUCAGAAAUAGUAGAGAUUAAUACCUUUCCUCUCCAUCAUGAGGGGCAUGGCCAACAUUCAUAACAAAAUGAGAGCAGCAGGAGGUAGACAAAUGCCUAAGUAGACAGAGGAAGGUCCCGAGUGAAACCCCACCUUCAAUCCAAAAUCAGCCCGAGACCUGCAACCUAGAGUGAGAUCUUCUAUUCCUGUUUGCCUGCUCUUUCCCAAUUGGUUCUUUCUGAAUAAUGCUUUUAAACUAACCAAAAGUUACCUAUUCCAAUGCUACCUUCGUCCCACCCCUCCCCAUCCUGUGCUUGUAAAAACCCUAGACUCAUCCACACCGGGGGAGAAACCACCUGACUUCGGGUGGGGAAGCUCUCCUGUGACCCCUCUCCACUGAGAGCUGUUUUGUCACUCAAUAAAAUUCUUCUCCACCCUCCUCACCCUUCAAUUGUCAGCAUAUCCUCAUUUUUCUAGGACACAGGACAAGAACUCAGGAAUCACCAGACCCAUAAUAUGAGCUAUAACACAGAUGGGCUGGGGCACACCUGGCCCAGCUGCGGGCUGAGCCAGUGUGCAAGCCAGGCACAGCCUGGGUGGGCUGAGUGGGUGGGCCACCUCCUGCAGCAAGUAGCAUGGCCAAGCAAGGCCCAGGCGGGGGCGUCGCCGGCCGGCGGUUCCCAGCUGGUGAAGUGACUGAGAAAAAUCCUGCAUCAAAAAGACAGGUUAACAAGAAAAAAGCACACCAGUUUAUUCAAAAUUUUAUGUGACACUAAAGCCUUCAGAAAUGAAGACUCAAAGACUCAGGGAAAAGUGUCUAUUUUUAUGCUUGGGUUUGGUGAGGCAUGAACAGCUGUGUAGCAAUGUGAUUGGACAAAAGGGGAAGACCUAAAGAUAAUAGACCGAGUAGGGAAACUCAGCAAAGCUGUACGGAUUCCUCUUGGGCUGUCUGUGGUAUCAUUUCUUCCUUCUUGAUAUGGGGCAGGACCCAUCUGGAUUGAGGGUCUUAUGACCUACUAUUAAAGAGAGGUAGGUCAGAGAAUUUCUUUAUAGUC